rnacentral:lncRNA from 1 species
GAGCUAGAUAAGUCUUACGGGUCUCGUACGAAAUUUGAGAGAAAAUGCCUCACAAAUUUGGUAGCAAUUCGAUAAUUAAAAUGUCAAAAGUCCUUUACAAAAUGAAUUUAACAACUAUUUAUAGACAAUGUCUAAGCUAGCCGAAUAGUCACAUGAAUGCUUAAGAAUUAAGCAAAUGAAUUCCUUAAAUGUCAAUGGAUAGGUUCGGCUGAAUGGGGAGCUCCAUUAGUCAACUUCUAGAUGGAUAAUUGAACUUAGAACUUGAGUGAAUACAAUGCAGCAGCUACAUUCGGUUGAUGUGCUUAAAGGAGCUCAUUUAAUUGGCAACCAUUGCUGAAAAAUUACCAGCAAUUAAGGAGAUGUUGAGUAGUCACUUUAAGUGUGAAAACCAGGUUUUGAAGAGUCCUUGAAUAUGAACACCUUGAACCGAACAGCCAUGUUGUUUCUAGCAAUGUGUAAGCAAUAAAUUCGGCUGAAUGGUCACUUAGGAAACUUCAAACAGCAGCCAACUUCAUUUUCCCAUUCAUGCAUGUACCGUCCCCUUCAUGUACCUUCUUUUAAUACCUUUCAUGCACCAAGGACGUUCAUGGGUAAUGUACCUACAGCAACAUUCAUCAAAUAAAUCAAAUACAUGUUUAGACACAUUAAAUUAACACUAAAAUGCUGCACAUUAAAUUCGGCAACCUUAGGACAUAAUUAAAACAAGUAAUAAAGUUGACACAUUAAAAGCAUGCAUAAAAAACAUAUUUAUAAGCUGUAUAAAUUAAGACAAAAUUAAUAACAUGUAAUAAUAACUCAUUUAACAUGCAUAAUUAAAUUUGUCCAGAUUUAAGACCAAUUAAAUAACGAAAAUUAAUUAAGCUGUAAAUAACUAAUUUAACUAACUCAAAUAAUUAUUUCAGCUACUAUAUUAUUGACUAAGUUAUAUUGAGCUAAUUUUGAGCUGGUUCGAAUUCAAUGAGCUGAAAUGGAGCUUAAUUCAGCUUGCAGCAAGUUGCACGGAGAGCUCUUAGAAUUGGCCCAAGCUUCUUCAAUACGUCCAACUAAAGUCUCGCCCCAAACUUUAUCUACUAAGGCCGAAACAGCCUCCUUGAAUUGUUUGGCUCGUGAUCGGGUGAUAGGACCUUGAGGCAGCUCCAAAGGCUCCUUGAUCGAGCUAGGUAAGACUUGAGGUGUGGCCGUAUCAGGAACAGCGAAAAGUGGAAAUUGAGAUAGGGAAAUAAUUCAACCAAUGUUCACAAAAAAGAUCGAAGCUCUUCUGGAUAACAGCGUCAGCUGAUUGUUCUCGACUGCAGUGGCAAUGGCUCGAUCAAGCUCAACUGUUUCCAAUAUGAAAUCCUGGCUGCAUUUUUU